CACGUGUGGUGAGGAAUAUGAGAUUGGCCAGGAGUGGUGUGGCAUAUGAGAUUGGCCAGGAUUCGUGUGGAAUAUGAGAUUAAAGGUUUAGCAAAAAAUGACACUGAUAUUUUGAAGAGAUGCAUGACAAGGAAGAAUGUCACAUUACAGGAGCAAGCAAUAGAGGUAAAUUAAUUCAAAACUUUAAUUAUCAUUUUAAACAAUGCAAAAAAGCUUAUCCCC